GACGAACGCUGGCGGCGUGCCUAACACAUGCAAGUCGAACGGGGUUUAUAAUGGAAGAUCCUUCGGGGUUGGAAGUUUUAACUUAGUGGCGAACGGGUGAGUAACGCGUGAGAAACCUGCCUUUCAGUGGGGGGACAACAGUUGGAAACGACUGCUAAUACCGCAUAAUGUAUUUUAGGGGCAUCCCUUUGAUACCAAAGCUUAAUGUGCUGAAAGAUGGUCUCGCGUCUGAUUAGCUAGUUGGCGGGUAAUGGCCCACCAAGGCGACGAUCAGUAGCCGAACUGAGAGGUUGAACGGCCACAUUGGGACUGAGAUACGGCCCAGACUCCUACGGGAGGCAGCAGUGGGGAAUAUUGGGCAAUGGGCGAAAGCCUGACCCAGCAACGCCGCGUGAAGGAAGAAGGCCUUCGGGUUGUAAACUUCUUUUAGCAGGGACGAAGGACGUGACGGUACCUGCAGAAAAAGCAACGGCUAACUACGUG
rnacentral:rRNA from 1 species